UAGAUUCUCUGCGAUAAACAAGAAAAUUUUUCAGCAUCCAGUCUGACAUGUACGUACUAGUACACUGUUAUUAAAUUGUGUUUGUGAGUACGUGUGUAUGAAUGAAUUACACAUUGGGUGGUGUUGAUUUGGGAGGAUGAAUGGCCUUUGUAGCCAGCCCUCUAGGUCUUUAUUCCAGCACCAGGCUAUGUCCCUUUAAUGACUACCUUAGGGUGCCGUUGUGCAUGUGUGACUACUUUUCUACAGAUAUAGAGGUCUGGAGGGCCAAAGGAAUGCAUGUGAGGGGUUGAGUCCCUUGAUCUCUGAAGUAAUGGGCAGGUGGGAUACCAGGCAAGAAAAAACAUGGUAUUGGCACCAAUGUUUAGAUAUUCAAUCUCUUUUGCAUUAUUUUGGCCUAGAGUCAGUUCUCAAGAAGCUGGGAUGUCAGAAGAGAUUCCAGUCUUAGAAGUAUGCUGUUAAAUGCAAGAUUGGUCGUUAAAAUGUCAACUCUUCAUGAUUUAAUUAAGGAGGAGGGCUCUUCUUUUGUGUAUAUUACUGAAAUUUCAUUAUAGUUGGACUGAUUUGGGAACAGUUGGUACUGGGCUGGUAUUUAGUAUAGCAUGAACAAAAGGGGGAUUGAUAGAGAAGGAACAUAAUUCUUUUUGCAUCCACUUUGAAAAAUUGAAGGUUUCCUACCCCAGAACUGAACUGAACAAAGGAUAUUCAUCUUUAAUUGUUGAUGCAAGUCCAGGCUGGAGUUAAGUUGUAACUUCCCUCUUGUAUUUCAAAAUCCCUGUGUGAGCUAAUAAAAUUCUUCACUAUAGCAAUCUUGGAAGAAGCAAGGCUGAUAGUGCUCAUUGACUGAAAAAAUCCAUGAAGAAUUCUUAGAAAUCAUCUCAGGUUUUCAUGGCACUGACCACCAUUGGCCCAUUAAAGACGGUUACAGGCUCCAUUCACAUAGUUGAUCACACUUUUUAUAUAAUAUUUGGGCCAAAACUGGAGGUUAGAAAGUUGGAAAUUAGGCCCUCCUCAUGAACCAUUAUUUCCUACAUUUUGAGAUUGGGGCACCCCAUCCUGUCAGAACAAGGGAUAUGAUUUGAUUGUCUUCAAAAUGUAAUGAAUCCACAGUACUACCAAAAGAUCAUGAGAGAUUAUAUAGGUCCUCUUCCAGAUCAACCUAUCAAGCAUUUGGUCUCUAGGAUUUCCAUGGCAAGACUUUAAAAAUCAGCUGAGUACAAGAAGGAUGUGCCUGCCUAGCUGCCUCUAUUCGGAACCAUUGCUGUAUUGCAGAAGAUAUAGAGUCAGGAGCUGAUCUCAAGAACUUGACCGCCAGUGGGGUUGGAGCUGCCAAUAACCAACAGAACAAAAUUUCCGGGGGGAGUGGAGAAGAAAAAAAGGCAGCAAGGAGUCCAGAAGUUUACUGCUACUUACAGUAAGUGUUGACAUGUACUUGCUAAGAAGCUGGUCUACCGCAUUUUGUGAAAUUAAAGGAUUUAGAGAAUUUACAUCCACUUCUGGGGCCAGUUCAGAAUUCCCCAUCAUCUCUGUACUGAAUUGAAAAAAAUAAAACAAAGCCAUAAAUUGCAAAUGAAGAAAGAAAAGAAGUUACAGAAAUUUGAAACCGUUCUGAAACGACUUCAACAGGUGAUCUUCCAUUAUUUACAAGUCUCUGAAAA